GACGAAGGUCACUGGCUACAGAGAUGUUGGGAGGAAAAGCUUUCAUCUCAGGCUGCACCCUGCUUGUGCUGGUUACUUUAUGUGGUCAAACUGCUCACUGCAAAACCGAAGGUUCAACUCAACUGGAAGACCUGAGAAUUGUUCUUGUUGGAAAAACUGUAUGAGCCAAACUGGAAAGAUUUUGUGCAAUAAGUCAGUUUUGACAUGUGGCCUGCUGGUGAUCAGACUGGAUGUACGGUUCACAGAAGAGAAGUCUGCCAUCAAAGAGGGGUCAAAGACAACUUUGGUGAGGAAGCGUCCAAAAACACACUGGUGCUUUUCACCAGGGGGGAUGAGCUCAAGGAGAAGUCCAAUGAGACUUUUUUAUUCGAGGGACCCGAACUAAAGGAGUGUAGCCUAUCAGUGGUUUUACGGCUGGGUACAUUGUGUUUGAAAACACAUGCAGAGAUAAUCGCACUCAGGUGGUUGAUAUGUUU